rnacentral:rRNA from 1 species
UCCAGGCCCUACGGGGUGCAGCAGGCGCGAAACCUCCGCAAUGUGAGAAAUCGCGACGGGGGGAUCCCAAGUGCCAUUCUUAACGGGAUGGCUUUUCAUUAGUGUAAAGAGCUUUUGGAAUAAGAGCUGGGCAAGACCGGUGCCAGCCGCCGCGGUAACACCGGCAGCUCUAGUGGUAGCAGUUUUUAUUGGGCCUAAAGCGUCCGUAGCCGGUUUAAUAAGUCUCUGGUGAAAUCCUGCAGCUUAACUGUGGGAAUUGCUGGAGAUACUAUUAGACUUGAGAUCGGGAGAGGUUAGAGGUACUCCCAGGGUAGAGGUGAAAUUCUGUAAUCCUGGGAGGACCGCCUGUUGCGAAGGCGUCUGACUGGAACGAUUCUGACGGUGAGGGACGAAAGCUAGGGGCGCGAACCGGAUUAGAUACCCGGGUAGUCCUAGCUGUAAACGAUGCGGACUUGGUGUUGGGGUGGCUUUGAGCUGUCCCAGUGCCGAAGGGAAGCUGUUAAGUCCGCCGCCUGGGAAGUACGGUCGCAAGACUGAAACUUAGAGGAAUUGGCGGGGGAGCACCACAACGCGUGGAGCCUGCGGUUUAAUUGGAGUCAACGCCGG